AGGUAAUAUUAAUAAUGGUUGAAAUUUAUUAAACAGCAUGCCUAGUGAUGUGCCAAGCCCUGUUUCAGGUGCUUUAUGAAUAUUAUCUCACUGGAUCUUCACAACAGCCAUAAAAUAUAGUUACUUUCAUUAUUCCCAUUUUACAGAUGAUGAAACUAAGGCACGGAUGGAUUAGGUAACUCGCCCAAUUUUAAGCAGCUAGUAAGUGGUAAAGCUGAAACACAAACCUAGGAAGUUUUAAUGUUUCUUCACUUUUUACUAAGGAGUGGCUAAGCAAUGGGAAGAAUCUAGCUUCUUAUAUUAUCUCUUAUAUGUUAAAGUUGGUUUAAUGAAAUUAUUUUUGCAAAAAAAAUAAAUAAAAUUUAUUUCCAAGAAUAUAAAUACCAUUUAUUGAAAAUUUAACUCAGUGUAAAAAGUUUAACUAUAAAAGUAUAUAUGAGGCUAUUUUGUAAGAAGAACCACAAAGGAUAAUGUUUUUAUAAUUGUGCUUACAUCAAUUAAGAAUAUGAGUAAUUGGAAUGGG
rnacentral:lncRNA from 10 species